UACAGAGGGUGCAAGCGUUAUUCGGAAUUAUUGGGCGUAAAGAGCGCGUAGGCGGUUUUGUAAGUCUGAUGUGAAAGCCCUGGACUCAAUCCAGGAAGUGCAUCGGAUACUGCAUAACUAGAGUACAGGAGAGGAAAGCGGAAUUCCCGGUGUAGAGGUGAAAUUCGUAGAUAUCGGGAGGAACAACAGAAGCGAAGGCGGCUUUCUGGACUGUAACUGACGCUGAGGCGCGAAAGCGUGGGGAGCAAACAGG
rnacentral:rRNA from 1 species